UGUUUAUGUGACUGUGUGAAUUGAAAAGUACAGGAAAAAUAAUGGAAUAAGUCAUACUUACUAAAUAGUAGCUUAGUGGUUAAAUUGUAAGCACUUUUUCCUAUAUUGUCGAGAUGGCGCGGAAGGAAGGCCAAUACGCGCAGUUCAUACCCCGUCAGAUGUGGAAGGCAGACCCUGAGUUCCCCAAGGGCAUGACUCCUCUCAAAACCCCAGUGGAGAAUGUAGUAGCCGCCUGGACCAAUACACCGCCAUGCUCGAGUCCUCAGGAAUGCAUGACUGCAGUGAGGAUGAUUCAGAAGAAGCAUGUCGAGAGUGGACUUCCGGACAUUGCCCACAAUUUCCUGAUAGGAGGAGAUGGAAGGAUCUACGAGGGGAGAGGGUGGAGGCACCAGGGACCUGUCUACCCAGAGACAGUCGAGGACCAUGAGAGACUUAACAACAACUGUGUGGAGAUAGCCUUCAUUGACUGGGCGUGUGAUGAUUGGCCAUCAGAAGCAUAUUUUACCACUUUCUCUUGCGUCGUAACUGACGGCCAAGAGGCCAAUGCUCUGGGAGGGAUCUUCACAUUGUACAUUGAGAAGAAAGGGAAAAUAAGCCUCUUUAAAACCUACGAUCCGGUCAAGGAUUAUGAGCAAAUCGUCCCCCCGGAGCUUCGUGAAGAAGUGUACAGGGAAAUGAGGGAAAGAGAGGCUCAAAGAGCAGCAAAGUUAAGAAGAAAGAUAGAAUAAAAGUGUCUUUGUGAACAAAAUCGCAACUUGAUACACACAGUCUUCAUAACCUAAAACACAGGAUCCAACUCCCAAACAAAUGAUGUGUUUGUCCCCAAUUGUAUUGACUGGACAAGAACUCCUUCGUAUCGUGGGGGCUUUCAACUUCUACUGGAAUAGAGACGGGUUUGUGAAGAGAGUGACAAGUUACAAUCCGU